rnacentral:lncRNA from 1 species
CGUGACUCCACUCGGAGCCCAGCCAGACUAGGCACAUCCCCGUGACCCUGUUUCCAGCUGAGAUGAGAUUCUCAGUCCCCACAGUGAACACCGCGACAGCUCUUCUCUGAGGACAGUAUUUGAUCUGGAAUAUACUUCUAAUAGUUUUUCCUUUAUAAUUUGUGGAGGGCCAGCACUUCUGAUGGACACUUUGGCCCACAGGAUGCUGGAGAGAACCUCUAGUUGGAACUACUCCUCUCCGUAUCAGGACUUGCCUAUAAUGAGCAAUAGCUCAGCCCGUGUCUGUCUUCACUAUCUCCCCCUUCCCCCCCACCCCCACCCAGCGUUUAUGAAAGUAGCGAUUGCUUCUGAGAAAAAGAAAACCGCUGGAGCUUGAAGCUCCGGCUGGAAGCCACUGCUUGCCUCAGUUUGUGGAAACCCAGGCACUGGAAAUCGGAGUUUUGCCGCGCUUCGCCUUGGCAACGUGUACUCGGGAGUUUUAUUUUUAUAAGGUCGGAGAGUUCUCCGUGAGACUCAGCACACUGGCUGGAGAGGGAUGGCUGCAUGCCUCUCUCUCUCUCUCUCUCUCUCUCUCUCUCUCUCUCUCUCUGUGUGUGUGUGUGAGCUGUGUGGGCAGGACAGGCUACACACUCCUGAAUCUC